rnacentral:misc_RNA from 1 species
GGACCAUCGAAUUCUCAAUCAGCAGAGAACAACUAUUCUGAGAAGAAAGUUUCUCUAAAUGGAACAGCUGUUAACCAGGACAGAGCCUUCAAUGAGCAAUCAAAAUCUCGUGGUCAGCAAUCUCCAUUGUCAGUUGAGGCAUUGGAGAAAAUGAUGGAAGAUCCACUGUGCAGAAGAUGGUUUAUCCUUACUUGCCUGCGGAGAUG